AAUGCCCGCCAACGCCAGAGAUGGGCCUGACACUUAGGCAGCCUUGCAAAGUAGAGGACACACAGAAGUUCACAGAAAGGUGACUGAUACAACAACGUAGAGGACCCUGCAAUGUGGAGAGGCAUGAAACUGGAGGUCCAGUGCCGUGAGUUAACAAUCAAGACGUCCAUACAGGAGAUGCAUUGGUGGAUGGGUGAAGAGAUGAUAAAACG
ensembl:lncRNA RBM33-DT RBM33 divergent transcript